rnacentral:rRNA from 1 species
GACUAAUGUUGAAAAAUUAGCGGAUGACUUGUGGCUGGGGGUGAAAGGCCAAUCAAACCGGGAGAUAGCUGGUUCUCCCCGAAAUCUAUUUAGGUAGAGCCUUGAGCGGACACCUUCGGGGGUAGAGCACUGUUUCGGCUAGGGGGCCAUCCCGGCUUACCAACCCGAUGCAAACUGCGAAUACCGAAGAGUGAUACUCAGGAGACACACGGCGGGUGCUAACGUCCGUCGUGGAGAGGGAAACAACCCAGACCGCCAGCUAAGGUCCCAAAGUCUAUAUUAAGUGGGAAACGAAGUGGGAAGGCUUAGACAGCUAGGAUGUUGGCUUAGAAGCAGCCAUCAUUUAAAGAAAGCGUAAUAGCUCACUAGUCGAGUCGGCCUGCGCGGAAGAUGUAACGGGGCUAAAAUAUAGCACCGAAGCUGCGGCAUCAGGCGUAUCACUAAUAUUCCUU